AAUCAACGCUGGCGGCGUGCCUCAGACAUGCAAGUCGAACGCGAAAGAGGGCUUCGGCCCUUGAGUAGAGUGGCGCACGGGUGAGUAACACGUGGGUAAUUUACCUUUGGGUGGGAAUAACAGUCGGAAACGGCUGCUAAUACCGCAUAAUGCAGCGGCUCCACAUGGAGACAGUUGUUAAAGCGGGGGAGCGAGCAAUCGCCCUCGCGCCUGAAGAGAACGCCCGCGGCAGAUUAGCUAGUUGGUGAGGUAAUGGCUCACCAAGGCUUCGAUCUGUAGCCGGCCUGAGGAGGGCGGUCGGCCACACUGACACUGAAUAACGGUC
rnacentral:rRNA from 1 species